AAAAACUUUCCUCCCGGGUAGAGUCUCUUCUCCGGGUCAAGCUCUGAGUUUCUUUGGAACUCAAUGUAGCCAAUUACCAAAACCUCAAUCCAUAUCAACGUUGUUAUUGAGAAUGGAAGUGGUUGCCCCAGGUAUGAUGAUCCUUCAACUAACUCUACCUGAAAAAUGUCAACGGUUCGAUAAUUUAUUUUUUAUUUUUUAAUUUGAAGGAGAUAGAUACAAGAAACUGCACUCACUAAACAUUGAGCCUUAUCCUACACUGAAAUAUUAGUACUUUGAAUUUAAAUUACCGUGAGUGCAAAGGCCAUUCAUAGCCAGUCGACCUAUGCCUAUGCCUAAAAGGCCUCAUAAUUCAUUAAUUAAUUAUAGAACCCUUUUAGAUACUAAGUUUAUGCGACCCUUAAAAUUCUUAGCUCCUUUGAUCAAGGCUGCUUAGUUUCUUUUAUAAUGUCAUCUAAUAACCACUAAUUAUAAGCCCAAAUUUAGUUCAUAGAGAGAAAACGUCAACUCUAGCAAGGCCAAUAAUCUAUUCAAUCACUAACUCGAGAUCUGAUAGGGGCCUAAGGCGCAGGACCUUCCCCCCACAAAAAUAAACUGAGAAAUAAGAAUGACUAUUUACAUUUAGUACCCUUGAUGUAUGGUUUUUAUGUUUUGAACCCUAUAAGUUCUAUCUUGUUCCAUUAUGAUCCCCCAAUAUUAGUGUAAAUACGUACCUUGCCAGCGUCUUGCCAAGUAAUCCCAGUGAGCCACUCAACAGUGAGGGCACCGAGAGUAGCCAACAUGGCCCAACGUCCAUGAAUGAGCUCACACUCACGGAACCUCUGCAGACCAAAGACUUCAGUGUACGGCUGAAGCGGCGUGGACUGCAUG
rnacentral:lncRNA from 1 species